rnacentral:rRNA from 1 species
CCUUUGACGUUAGCGGCGGACGGGUGAGUAACACGUGGGUAACCUACCUAUAAGACUGGGAUAACUUCGGGAAACCGGAGCUAAUACCGGAUAAUAUUUCGAACCGCAUGGUUCGAUAGUUAAAGAUGGUUUUGCUAUCACUUAUAGAUGGACCUGCGCCGUAUUAGCUAGUUGGUAAGGUAACGGCUUACCAAGGCGACGAUACGUAGCCGACCUGAGAGGGUGAUCGGCCACACUGGAACUGAGACACGGUCCAGACUCCCUACGGGAGGCAGCAGCC